AGGACCGGAGUGGACGAACCUCUGGUGUUCCGGUUGUCACGCCAGUGGCAUUGCCGGGUAGCUAUGUUCGGAAAAGAUAACCGCUGAAAGCAUCUAAGCGGGAAACUUGCCUCAAGAUGAGAUCUCACUGGAACCUUGAGUUCCCUGAAGGGCCGUCGAAGACUACGACGUUGAUAGGUUGGGUGUGUAAGCGCUGUGAGGCGUUGAGCUAACCAAUACUAAUUGCCCGUGAGGCUUGACCAUAUAACACCCA
rnacentral:rRNA from 1 species